rnacentral:rRNA from 1 species
CCGGAUUUAUUGGGUGCAAAGGGUGCGUAGGUGGGCUUAUAAGUCAGCGGUGAAAUCCCCCGGCUCAACCAGGGAAUUGCCGUUGAUACUGUUAGCCUUGAGUACAGUUGAAGUGGGCGGAAUGUAGCAUGUAGCGGUGAAAUGCAUAGAUAUGCUACAGAACACCAAUAGCGAAGGCAGCUCACUAAGUUGUAACUGACACUAAUGCACGAAAGCGUGGGGAUCAAACAGGAUUAGAUACCCUGGUAGUCCACGCUGUAAACGAUGAUCACUCGUUGUUGGCGAUAUACAGUCAGCGACUGAACGAAAGUAUUAAGUGAUCCACCUGGGGAGUACGAUCGCAAGGUUGAAACUCAAAGGAAUUGACGGGGGCCCGCACAAGCGGUGGAGCAUGUGGUUUAAUUCGAUGAUACGCGAGGAACCUUACC